CAGUGACUAAGAGCUCAGAACAGGCCUGUCCUCCCUGAGUGCCACCUCCGGAAGAGAGGGCAGGGGAGGACAGAACUCUCGGGUUCCUGAAACAGCCUCUGGGAGAGCCACCUCAGCCCCACCCCCAUCACCACUCCUGGGGUCUGCAGGCACAGACCCAGGGAACAAGAGCCUUCGGCAGCACACAUUCAGAACACUUCAUGUGCAAAGACACAUCUCCAGACUGAAAGGUCAUUACAGUCCCAGUGGACAAAGAUUAAGGAGAAGCCAGCCGUGCUUUGGUUUAUGCUUUUAUAACUCUUGGGCCUGUUCACAUGGGUCAGAUACCAUCACUCUUCCCGGACCAGUGAACGCCAUGGUGUGGGGGCAGGAAGGAGUGACAAGGGUGCCUGCUGAGCCACUCCCUGGAACCAGCCCCUGACCUGGAACUGGACUUAGAGGCCCUGUGCCCAGCCCCUGAGACUGGUAAAGACACUGCUCAGUAACGCAGUUAACAAACGAAGAGAUGGUCAAGUUCACCCAUAACUAAAGAAAUGCAAGUUGAAGUUUCACAUUUUUGCCCAUCAGAUUGAUAAAGACUAAGAAAAUUGAUCAUAUCAAGUGCUGGGGAGGCUGUGGGGAACGACCCCUCAUCCACUGUUUGUUCAGCUUCUUAUGAAGAAUUUGGGGACUUUCGACACUGUCCAUCAAAUACAAAACUGUGACCACCCUUUGGCUCAGCAGUUUCAUUUUAACGAAGCUAUCUGAAGAUAACAUCGGUUUGAUGUUUAAAAACAGUGCAUGAGGAUGUCACUGAAUUAUAACUGUAGCUUUUGCAUUGAUUUUGCUCAAACAGGACUGCCUGUCCACAUGGAAACAACUCGAAUGUCCACCAGCAGGAGACUCCUUAAAUAAAUUAUGUAUCGGUAUGUAUUUAAUAGCAAUGUCUUGGAAAUAAAAUAUAUGCACAUAUAACAACAACGUAGGUAAGACAGGCAUGGAAAAAAAUCCAGAAGACAAAAUAUUGAAAUGUUAAUAACCGAGAUGUCUUCUGGGGGGCAUGAAAUUUCUUUCUAUAGCAUGUAUUUCUGUAAUAUUUAAAUUUCUGUAAAAUUUAAAUUUACAUCACAAGCAUGUAUUGCUGUUAUAAGCAGAAAAAGAUUUCAUUUAUUUUUAAAUGUUUAUUUACUUUGAGAGAGAGAGAGCGUGAGGAGAGGCCAAG